AUCGAACGCUGGCGGCAGGCCUAACACAUGCAAGUCGGGCGUGCGGCGGACGGGUGAGUAAUGUAUGGGGAUCUGCCUGAUGGCGGGGGAUCACUACUGGAAACGGUAGCUAAUACCGCACACCUUCAGUUGAACCCAUGUGGGAUUAGCUUGUAGGUAAGGUAACGGCUUACGGAGGCGACGAUCCCUAGCUGGUCUGAGAGGAUGAUGAGCAACACUGGGACUUGGACACGGCCCAGACUCCUACGGGGGGCAGCGGUGGGGAAUAUUGCACAAUGGGGGCAAGCCUGAUGCGGCCAUGCCGCGUGUAUGAAGAGGGCCUUCGGGUUGAAAAGUACUUUCAGUCGGGAGGCGUUACCGACAGAAGAAGCACCGGCUAACUCCGUGCCAGCAGCCGCGGUAAUAC
rnacentral:rRNA from 1 species